AUAUAUAAUUAGAUGGUCUAAACAACUGCGUAUCAUAAUUUCCUUGAAUCUGUGAUGAUCAAUUGGAUUUAGUUUGACAAUGAAACGCGCCGUUCUUCUACUGCUUCUCGCGACCGCUAUUUCUGCGGUUAGCUGCCAUCCCACAGUACUGUGUAGCUCAUACGAAGUGAGAUCCUGCGGAAUAGCUUGGACGUUUUCAUGCGUAUGCACCUGUGCUCAAGGAUACGUGCGAAAUGAGGUGGGAGCAUGUGAAUCUAAUGUCAUCAUACCAGCGACAUAUUACACAUAUCCAGUCUACUGUCUUCCACAAUGUUGGUACUACGCCUACGGUUAUCCAUAUUAUGGUUGAAGAUACUCUAGUCAAUAUAGUUCUACAAUAAUAUGUUCAAAUAAAAGGUGAUUUUGACAGUUUACAGAAAAAAA